rnacentral:tRNA from 1 species
AAAAAUUUAGUUAAAUCAUAACAUAAACUUGUCAUGUUUAAAUAAUUAUUAAUAUAAUAGUUUUUU